AUUGUUAGACUAAGUUACCUUAGGGAUAACAGCGUAAUCUUCUUUCAGAGUUCAAAUUUACAAGAAGGCUU
rnacentral:tRNA from 1 species